CAGGUGGAAUAGGACACGGUUUUUUUUUUCCGGUUCCAUACCAGAAAUUGAAGGCUAAAUACGAGCCAGCAGCCGCGAAAACACCUAUGUCCCGAGCGUUUUUCGGAUUUAUUGGGCGUAACGCGAGCGCAGACGGUUUAUCAAGUUUCAUGUGAAAGCCCGAAGUUCACCUCUGGAAAGGCCCUUGAAAAUGGUUAACUCGAGUGCAGUAGAUGUAAGUGGAAAACCAUUUGUAGCGGUGGAAUGCGUAGAUAUAUGGAAGAACACCAGUGGCGAAGGCGGCUUACUGGACUGCAACUGACGUUGAGGCUCGAAAGUGUGGGUAGCAAACAGGAUUAGAUACCUUGGUAGUCCACACCGUAAAUGAUGAACAAUAGGUGUAGGAGGUUUCCGCCUAGCUAGUGCCGAAGCUAACGCAGUAAGGUUCCGCCUGG
rnacentral:rRNA from 1 species